rnacentral:lncRNA from 1 species
CCAGCAGAGUUGCACCAUCAGAAAAACUAGGCAACAGCAUCAUUCUGCAGCAACCAACCAUGGUUGAUGGGUCUGCCAGGCUCAAAUCACUGGCCAACUGCCAAAUCCCACCCUGGUUUUCUCUGCAAAACUUCCAAGACUGUGACAAAGAGGCAGCUUGGUGAUUAUCCAUGGAAGGGUCAUGUGACCCCACCCAUUCCCAGCUGCCAUACUUUUGACCAUCCUAGCCCUGUGUGCUCCACCCAUCCCCAGGCUGAAAAGCAGAGGCAAUUUAGUGGUUAAGGAUGAAGUUUCUGGCCCUACCUGGACCCAGUGGAAUCUAAGUGGACACAGUCUCAGCUUCAGCUUGUCCAAUUUCAAUUUCUGAAAUGGAAUCAUUAGUAAUAAAUAACCUACAAGCCAAAAAAAAA